GCGAGCACCGGCCCCCCUUCCCACAACACACCUCCUCAAUUCCCACUCCCUACCACCCGACCCCCUCCUACCUGGCCCGCUGUUAGCCGUCCCGGAUCUCCGCAUCCAGAUCGCCGAGACGCCACCCUCUGGAGCAGCUGGCGUCCUCACCGCCGGACCCAACCUCCGUCGCCUACUCCCCGCCCAGCUCACUCUUCACCGCCGGGACCCCCUCCGCCGCGUGCUACCUCGCCAACUCCUCACUCUCGGGAUCAGGUGGAUGUCCACCUGUACUUUGAUUGAAGACAACUAACUUUGUUGUUCCUGAGGGCAAGAAGUAAUGAUCCGACCAGGCUCCAAGGAGUCACAAAUUUAUGAUAACAAUAGUCAGAAAGUUUAUCCUCAGCCAAUUGAUGAAAAUAUGAAUCAGAACAUGGACACGAUGGACAGUAUGAUUGGAAGGAUAUUCAACAACAUAUCCUCUUUAAAAGCUGCAUACAUUCAGCUGCAGGAAGCUCACACCCCUUACGACCCGGACAAGAUCCAAACUGCUGAUAAGCUUGUCAUAGAUGAGCUCACGAGGCUUUCAGAACUCAAGCAUACUUACAGAGAGAAAAAUCCUAAGCCAGUAGCAGCAUCACCUCAAGAUUCACGCUUGCUUUCUGAAAUACAGGAGCAGCAGAACUUGCUAAAGACAUAUGAGGUCAUGGUGAAGAAGUUCCAGUCACAGAUCCAGAAUAGAGAUACCGAGAUUACCCUUUUACAGCAGCAAAUUGAUGAGGCGAAACAUCGGAAAUCAAAGCUGGAGAAGAAAUUGAAACAGAGGGGCUUACUUAACAAAGAAUCUGAGGAAUCUGAUGAAGAAGAGAACUACUUCUCUAUUGAGCUGACACCAAGUUUAUUUACAUCUGCUGCAGAUAAUGCAUACCAAUCAAUACACGAUUUCUCAAAGCCCUUGAUCAACAUGAUGAAAGCUGCUGGGUGGGAUCUCGAUGCGGCUGCUAACGCAAUUGAACCUGAUGUAGUUUACACAAGGAGAGCUCAUAAGAAGUAUGCAUUUGAGUCCUAUAUCUGCCAAAGAAUGUUCAGUGGUUUCCAUGAAGAGAGCUUUUCCAUCAAGGCUGCUACUGCCAGUGUGUCCAAUGAGGCUUUCUUCCACCAGUUCCUUGCAGUGCGAGCCAUGGAUCCUCUUGAUGUAUUGAGCCAGAACCCAGAUUCGGUUUUCGGAAAGUUCUGCAGAAGCAAAUACCUGUUACUUGUGCAUCCAAAAAUGGAAGGCUCUUUCUUCGGUAACAUGGAUCAGAGAAACUACGUCAUGAGCGGUGGCCAUCCAAGGACAGCUUUCUAUCAGGCAUUUCUCAAGUUGGCGAAGUCCAUAUGGUUAUUGCACAGGCUGGCGUACUCUUUCGAUCCAAAGGUCAGGGUCUUCCAAGUGAAAAAGGGAAGCGAGUUCUCGGAGAUUCACAUGGAAAGCGUAGUCAAGAACAUGGUCUUGGAUGAAAGUGCCGAGAGGCCUAAAGUAGGUUUAAUGGUGAUGCCUGGUUUCUUGAUUGGGACUAGCGUCAUACAGGCCCGAGUGUACCUAUCAGAUGUCAAAUAUGCUGACUGAAAAUGCUGCAGUUGCUUGGGAAGAUUCAGGGCGUAUUAGUUCCUGCGGGCUCAUUUAGUUGCAUCUGAAAUGGCGGGGGACUUUGUGUGUCUGUGUCGUGUGUGAUGCUACCUGAAAGGAUGUUAUUCAGAUGAAAUGUGGUAGUCUAGCAACACGUUUGUGAAAGACUUUCGUAUGCUUGUCUUUUUAAGACUAGAAUGUUUGUUCUCUCUGUUGCGUGAUGUAAUCCUGUCCAGUGUUUGGUGUAUAUAUAUUGUUGGUUUGAUUUGGAUGUUGCAGCCUAUGUGAUGACUGCACAACCCUUUUCAUGUUGCCAUGUACUGUAUGUAAGUAUUCUUGUUGGUGUCUAAUCUGGUUUUUGUACUGUAAUACUAUAUGUGUACUGUAAUUCCUUUUGUUUGUGUUCUGUACUGUGUAAAUUUUGAGGUUUCACAGUUUCUCGCGAAUACGCAAAAAUUCUGUGUAUCUUCCUUUUUUUAUGACAUCACUGUGUAUCUUCCCAUUGAUAUAGAAGGAGAGGUUCGGAGGUUUACACACUUGGGAUACGUACAUACAUAUACAAAUGGAAUAACUGAAUCGUUUUAGAAGUACACGGGGAGGUACAGUUUCUCCUCAAAGCAUCAACGUCCCAGUGAUGGUCCUGGUUUCCCAACAGUUGCGUCCUGGCUCGUUGGGCUAGGCCUUCUAACUGAAUGGGCCCGAACCUUCCCAAAAUGGGCUUCACGGCUUUACCAUCGUGCGGGCUUCUUCUCUUCUACCAACUCCUCCCCCAUCCGUUCUGGGCUUCUGGCCAAUCUCAUUCUCGCCGGCCCUGUUCGUGCGAGAGCAGAGGAGACGGAGGUUUGCUAGGUUUUAGCGCGGGUGCGGCGGCGCGGUCCUGCCGUUGUGUGUUAGGUUGGCCGGAGCAAGCGAGCGGGAUGCCAAAGGGCGACGACGCGCUCGCGCGGAAGCGCGGGAAGGUGCGUCGCAAGCGGAUGCGCAGCAGCGAGAACGCCGUCUCCACGCGCGUCGCCGCCAUCAUCGCCUCCAAGCGCCGCCGCAAGACCGGCAAGCGCCGCGGCUGCGAGGGCAUGUGCUUCUCCCUCCCUUGCCCCGAGGACCCCUUCAACGAGCGCCACGGCAAGAAGCGCAAGACCGAAGACGCCGCCGACACCAACGACGACCACAAGAAGAAAAGCAAGGGUUCCAAGAAGCAGGAGCGGGCCACCGGUCCUAAUGCCAUACACGUGCGGAAGAAGGAGACGGGGGAGGACCGGCUGGAGUAUGACCGGCCGUCCAAGUUCCUGGUGGUCUGCCUCAACGCCAUCCGGGACGGGGCGGGGGCAUCCGAGGAGGACGGCGGCGGCAUCCACGACACCGCCUCCUGGGGCAUGGAGCUCUGGAAGUCCUGCGCGGCGUCCCCUCCUUCGGACGUGCUCGACACCAGCUACCAGUACGCCACCCGGGAGCAGACGGCGUGGCUCGUCUCCACGGCCUGCGACAUCGUCGCCAGGAAGGAGAAGCUCGGAGUGGUUGUCUCAUGCCCCUUCCUCCUCUACCUCGUCCCUUCCCAGGAAAAGGCGGUGCAAGUGCGUUCAAUAUGUAAACCGCUGAAGUCUCUUGGAAUACAUUCAGUGAGCUUGCAUCCUGGCGCUUCCAUAGAGCACCAGAUUUCUGGAUUAAAGAGCUGUGAGCCCGAGUUUCUUAUAUCUACCCCGGAGAGGCUCCUUGAACUGGUCUCACUAAAGGCAAUUGACAUAUCGAAUGUAUCAAUGCUGGUCAUUGAUGGACUAAAGGAUUUCAUGGACCUUAAUAUCAUCAAAGAACUUCGUUCUAUUCGAGGUACCAUAUCAGGUGAUGCACAGGUAACUAUAUUUAGUGGUCAAUGUGACCAGAGUGCGGCAACAGUGGCAAGAAAUCUACUACAUGGGAGAAUUACAAAGCUUACCACGAAUGAUUCUGUUACUUCUCGAAGUGCAUUUGUAGCACAGCAUGUACACUUCUGUACUAAAGAAGAGAAGACAUCAAAGGUUAAGGAAAUUCUUGAGCAUGUUUUAGAAAACCAUGCUAGUAAGACAGCAAAGGUUUUGCUAGUAGCCGCGAAUGAUAAUGAAGCGCAGAAACUCUCUUCAUCCCUGAAACUGGAAAUCCUCACAGUGAAUGAUGGCUCGCAAGGCAGCACCUUUACCGUAUGCAGCAGCAUGGGGCUUAUCAAUGUCCUUGUGAAAGGCUGUGAGAGCUUAGCAACAUCAGGUGUUGAGGAAUUUGAGAUUGUGUUGGUCGCGGACUUGCCUCCUUCAUUUGAUGAUUAUGUUGAGAUCCUCACCAGGACAGCUCGUCACACGGUUGCAGGGGAGGUGCAUGUUAUCGUCUCUAAGACUGAUGCUGCUCAUGCAAAGCCCUUGGCUGAUGUUCUUGCAAACAGUGGACAGGCGGUGCCUAAGUUGCUAAGACAAUUAAUUGACAAGAAUCACUCCUGAUGCAAUAUUCCUUUCUACUUAUGCGGGGUCACCGAGCAAUUUUGUCAGCGUCAAGUGUUUUGCCUUCUUCUUUUCCAUGUAAUUCUCGUGUGUCGAUUAUUAUCUCUUGCCUUGAUGUAGCGCAUUUAAAUUUAAAUUUUAUGAUGAAUAUGCGACAAGGCCCUUCCUGUAAGAACCGAAGUGCAUUCUAUAUAUUAUCUGAAAGGAACUGUUGCGAUGA